rnacentral:rRNA from 1 species
AGCAGCCGCGGUAAUUCCAGCUCCAAUAGCGUAUAUUAAAGUUGUUGCAGUUAAAAAGCUCGUAGUUGAAUUUCGGGGUCAGCAGGUUGGUCGUGCCACUGGUAUGUACUGGCUUUGCUGAUUCCUCCUUCUUGUAGAACCGUAAUGCCAUUAAUUUGGUGUUGCGGGGAAACAGGACUGUUACUUUGAAAAAAUUAGAGUGUUUAAAGCAGGCUAACGCUUGAAUACAUUAGCAUGGAAUAAUGAAAUAGGACGAGCGAUCCUAUUUUGUUGGUUUCUAGGAUUGACGUAAUGAUUAAUAGGGAUAGUUGGGGGCAUUAGUAUUCAAUUGUCAGAGGUGAAAUUCUUGGAUUUAUUGAAGACUAACUACUGCGAAAGCAUUUGCCAAGGAUGUUUUCAUUAAUCAAGAACGAAAGUUAGGGGAUCGAAGACGAUCAGAUACCGUCGUAGUCUUAACCAUAAACUAUGCCGACUAGGGAUCGGAUGAUGUUAUUUAUAAUGACUCAUUCGGCGCCUUAAC